rnacentral:rRNA from 1 species
AGUGAACGCUGGCGGCAGGCCUAACACAUGCAAGUCGAGCGGCAGUGCGGGGGCAACCCUGGCGGCGAGCGGCGGACGGGUGAGGAAUUCGUCGGAAUCUGCCUUUUUGUGGGGGAUAACGUAGGGAAACUUACGCUAAUACCGCAUACGUCCUACGGGAGAAAGUGGGGGACCGCAAGGCCUCACGCAGAAAGAUGAGCCGACGACCGAUUAGCUAGUUGGUGGGGUAAAGGCCCACCAAGGCGACGAUCGGUAGCUGGUCUGAGAGGAUGAUCAGCCACACUGGGACUGAGACACGGCCCAGACUCCUACGGGAGGCAGCAGUGGGGAAUAUUGGACAAUGGGCGCAAGCCUGAUACAGCCAUGCCGCGUGUGUGAAGAAGGCCUUCGGGUUGUAAAGCACUUUUGUCCGGAAAGAAAUCCCUGGAGCUAAUACCUUCGGGGGAUGACGGUACCGGAAGAAUAAGCACCGGCUAACUUCGUG